UAAUUAUUCUUCCCAAGAAGCCUGUCUUCCAUCAUGCAGAAGCUGUCAAAACACAGGUGGUGUUUUCUUUGCUUGGUUUGUGUUGGGUGGUUAGUAAUAUCAGUUGGAAAACAAGGUUAUUAAUGCACAUAUUCCCUGGGGCAUUGUAUUUGGACAUUUAAUAUCCAUGUAGUCUCUCCCUGUGAAAAUAUGUGAACCUCCACGAAAAGAAAGGUCCAAGGAAAGUAGCAGGGAAAAGGCAGGAAUUGGAUGAAAAUAGCCAAAGAGCCUGCAGGAAUAGAAACAAGGCAGGAUCCCAGGAGACAGAGCAGUAGCCACUUUGAGUGAAUUUCCCAGGAGGUGCUCCUGCCAAGGCCCAUACCUUCAAGGAAAAUUAAGGCAAAUAGAAUUGGGCUGGGGAGUUGCUACUUAUUAGUAUUCCUCCCACGUUCUAACCUAAUUAUAAGGAGGUUGUUUUGGCCAUGGGCAGUCAUCUCAGGUUUUGUUUUCCUGCUUUCCUCCCCAACCUCCACCUGUCUUCCUAGAGGCCUGAGUCAGGGUUAUUGCAAUAGCACUAAAGACUGUGUAACACCAAUGCAGGCAAAUCAACCUUUGGGGAUGGGACUACGCUCAUGGUGAAGCCAAAUAUCCAGAACCCUGACCCUGCCGUGUACCAGCUGAGAGACUCUAAAUCCAGUGACAAGUCUGUCUGCCUAUUCACCGAUUUUGAUUCUCAAACAAAUGUGUCACAAAGUAAGAAUUCUGAUGUGUAUAUCACAGACAAAACUGUGCUAGACAUGAGGUCUAUGGACUUCAAGAGCAACAGUGCUGUGGCCUGGAGCAACAAAUCUGAUUUUGCAUGUGCAAACGCCUUCAACGACAGCAUUAUUCCAGCAGACACCUUCUUCCCCAGCCCAGAAAGUCUCUGUGAUGUCAAGCUGGUCGAGAAAAGCUUUGAAACAGAUACGAACCUAAACUUUCAAAACCUGUCAGUGAUUGGGUUCCGAAUCCUCCUCCUGAAAGUGGCCGGGUUUAAUCUGCUCAUGACGUUGCGGCUGUGGUCCAGCUGAGAUCUGCAAGAUUGUAAGAGCCUGUGCUCCCUCGCUCCUUCCUCUGCAUUGCCCCUCUUCUCCCUCUCCAAACAGAGGGAACUCUCCCACCCCCAAGGAGGAGAAAGCUGCUACCAACUCUGUGCCCCCCCGGCAAUGCCACCAACUGGAUCCUACCCGAAUUUAUGAUUAAGAUUGCUGAAGAGCUGCCAAACACUGCUGCCACCCGCUCUGUUCCCUUAUUGCUGCUUGUCACUGCCUGACAUUCAUGGCAGAGGCAAGGCUGCUGCAGCCUCCCCUGGCUGUGCACAUUCCCUCCUGCUCCCCAGAGACUGCCUCCGCCAUCCCACAGAUGAUGGAUAUUCAGUGGGUUCUCUUGGGCUCUAGGUCCUGGAGAAUGUUGUGAGGGGUUUAUUUUUUUUAAAUAGUGUUCAUAAAGAAAUACAUAGUAUUCUUCUUCUCAAGACGUGGGGGGAAAUUAUCUCAUUAUCGAGGCCCUGCUAUGCUGUGUAUCUGGGCGUGUUGUAUGUCCUGCUGCCGAUGCCUUCAUUAAAAUGAUUUGGAAGAGCA